UGGCGCUGCGGGGCAGGAACGUCGGUCGUUGCGUAGAUCGUGGGCCGGUGCAGGGCGGUGCGGCUGGCACUGUGCUUCCGCGAAGGUGGCAGGAUUCCAGGACCGCGAAGUUCCGGGGCUCGGGACAGCAGCGCAGCAGCUGCAGGAACCGGGCGACCAUGAACAUGCAAAGAGGACCAGCUGCACGAAAUAAAGCAGCAGCAGGAGCAGCAAACGACUUUAUUGGGGUCCUGAGGAGCUAAGCGGGGGCCUGCAGGUCCCUACCCAGCCGUUGGCUAGUCCCAUGUCGGAACAGAGAGGCCAUGACUCUCCGCUCGUUCACGGGGCCUCUGCACAGCCAGGAGCUGGACGUCCUGUCUCGGGACAUUGGUUCCUGGAUUCGGACCCUGGAACCCGAUCGUCCUCUCGAAAGGGAGCGUCUGCUGCUAUUGUCGCGCCCUCUGGAGCGAGAGCGCGAUCUGCUGGAUCGCUCUCUGGAUCGGGAACGGGAGCGUGCUCUCGAUGUCGAUAUGUUGCGGUGGGGGGAGUAAAAGGGUUUCUCUCCCGCCAUUGCUUCUCCGCCGCUAGCUGCGUCGAAGCCACGCGGUCCUUCCGCGUGGCUUGGACACGCGUCAAGAAAUCUGGUCCAAAAGGUUUGUAGAAGCGGGAGCCGACGCGCUCGCACACGUGCGUUCGAAAACGUCGUCUUCUUCCCCCCAUGUGUUUGCACUGUAACAAUUUUUAUGUCAAGUAUGCACUAACUCGCCCAGAAAAAAGUUUUAACAAAGCAGCAAGCGUCCGUCACUGUUUUCAGGUGAAUUGCUGCCCUUGAGCACUGCCUUUUUCUAUUGCGUCAGCGUGUGCCUCUUGUAUACUUCGUUUUCGCUUUGUGCGGUUGCAUCUAACUUGCAUAAGUACAUGUAAAAAUACUAUAACGAUUUCAAGUAAACUUACAUGAUCUAUUAAAAUGCGUGUUCCAGCAAACUUGAAAUUUUGGUUAUUGCAUAUGUUGACAGUGACUUAUACAAUCAUUUAUAAGGACGACUGUACAACCCGCGAAACAGGGGAUACAGCAGGCUCUGACAGAGUGUAAAGCCUGUACAGUAAAAUAGUGACGUACAAGGAGAAAAAUAUGGUGUUCUAGUGGACAAAUUUGCGUGAAAAUUCAAAAAAAGUUGUGACCGCUAUUUAAACUACUGCCGCUCUUCUGAUGUAUGCAUAUUCGCGUUUAAGAAAAUCAAUUUUGCAGUUCAGAGUUUUCCUGUCCAUUCGUAAGUGCUCAUAGAGGGUGCAUCUUUAGUGUGAAAAUGUUUCAUUAAGAAAAGGUCUGAGCGUACCGA